rnacentral:rRNA from 1 species
UACACAUGCAGUCGAGGGGCAGCACGGGUAGCAAUACUUGGUGGCGACCGGCGCAAGGGUGCGUAACGCGUGAGCAACAUGCCCGUAUCAGGGGAAUAAUCUAGGGAAACUUAGUCUAAUACCCCAUAGCAUUAUUAAUCGGCAUCGAUUUAUAAUUAAAGCUUUGGUGGAUACGGAUUGGCUCGCGUGACAUUAGUUAGAUGGUAAGGUAACGGCUUACCAUGACUAUGAUGUCUAGGGGUUCUGAGAGGAAGAUCCCCCACACUGGAACUGAGACACGGUCCAGACUCCUACGGGAGGCAGCAGUGAGGAAUAUUGGACAAUGGAUGGAAAUCUGAUCCAGCCAUGCCGCGUGCAGGAAGACGGUCCUAUGGAUUGUAAACUGCUUUUAUAUGGGAGCAAUAAGGUCUUUGCGAAGACUGAUGAGAGUACCAUAUGAAUAAGCAUCGGGCUAACUCCGUGCCAGCAGCCGCGGUAAUACGGAGGAUGCGAGCGUUAUCCGGAUUUAUUGUGUUUAAAGGGUGCGUGGCGGUUUGAUAAGUCAGUGUUG